UUGCAGCCUUUUAAGCCAACUGUCCUCCUUCUUGUGGGGGCCAGUGUGCAAUGGCUGUGAACAGGAGACUCCUUGGUAGUGAACGAAGCCUGUUGGCAAGUCUAGGCUGCCCUAAGGGACCUUGGAGACAGCC
ensembl:snoRNA SNORA70 Small nucleolar RNA SNORA70